rnacentral:rRNA from 1 species
UCGACGGUGAGAGAUGAAAGCUGGGGGAGCAAACCGGAUUAGAUACCCGGGUAGUCCCAGCUGUAAACUAUGCAAACUCAGUGAUGCAUUGGCUUGUGGCCAAUGCAGUGCUGCAGGGAAGCCGUUAAGUUUGCCGCCUGGGAAGUACGUACGCAAGUAUGAAACUUAAAGGAAUUGGCGGGGGAGCACCACAAGGGGUGAAGCCUGCGGUUCAAUUGGAGUCAACGCCAGAAAUCUUACCCGGAGAGACAGCAGAAUGAAGGUCAAGCUGAAGACUUUACCAGACAAGCUGAGAGGUGGUGCAUGGCCGUCGCCAGCUCGUGCCGUGAGAUGUCCUGUUAAGUCAGGUAACGAGCGAGAUCCCUGCCUCUAGUUGCCACCAUUACUCUCAGGAGUAGUGGGGCGAAUUAGCGGGACCGCCGCAGUUAAUGCGGAGGAAGGAAGGGGCCACGGCAGGUCAGUAUGCCCCGAAACUCUGGGGCCACACGCGGGCUGCAAUGGUAACGACAAUUGGUUUCGAAUCCGAAAGGAUGAGGUAAUCCUCAAACGUUACCACAGUUAUGACUGAGGGCUGCAACUCGCCCUCACGAAUAUGGAAUCCCUAGUAACUGCGUGUCAUUAUCGCGCGGUGAAUACGUCCCUGCUCCUUGCACACACCGCCGU